CACGUAGUUAGCCGGGGCUUCUUACUCAGGUACUGUCAUCUUCUUCCCUGCUGAUAGAGCUUUACAUACCGAAAUACUUCUUCACUCACGCGGCGUCGCUGCAUCAGGGUUUCCCCCAUUGUGCAAUAUCCCCCACUGCUGCCUCUCGUAGGAGUUUGGGCCGUGUCUCAGUCCCAAUGUGGCCGUCCGCCCUCUCAGGCCGGCUACUGAUCGUCGCUUUGGUAGGCCGUUACCCUGCCAACUGGCUAAUCAGACGCGGGUCCAUCGUAUGCCACCGGAGUUUUUCACACAAAAGCAUGCGCUCUCGUGCGCUUAUGCGGUGUUAGCUACCUAUUUCUAAGUGUUACUCCCCUGCAUACGGCACGGUUACCCACGCCGUUACUCACCCGUCCGCCACUAACGUUAACACCUUCUCCACUCCUAGCAAGCUAUUUAGCUUUUAAAAAUUGUUAACUCCGUUGACUUGCAUGUGUUAAGCACGCCGCAGUCGUUCACUCCUGAGCCAGGUA
rnacentral:rRNA from 1 species